rnacentral:misc_RNA from 1 species
GUAGGUGAACCUGCGGAAGGAUCAUUAACGAAUCAAAGGUCUUCGGACCGAUUCUCUUACACCCGUGCUCUUGUCUUUUUUGACAAAUGAUUUUCUGAAUAUACAGUCGUCUGAGAAAUCCAUCCUUUUAGGAUGUAGAAGAAAUCUAAAAACUAUGAACAACGGAUCUCUAGGCUCUU